rnacentral:lncRNA from 1 species
UUUCCAAAUUUUUCUUCUUUUCAUCCUAGAGGGCCUAUGUUUCAAAAAUAAUCCCACAUGCAACCACUUUAAAGCAGUCUUGCUUUUGUUAAAACAAUUCUGCCCAUUCUAUCUUCCCCUUGCCCUGCACGUGCUCCUGGCAGCACCCUCAAGGCACAGUCAAAUGGGAGCUGCUGUUAGUAAGGGAGUUCCCCAGGCUCUCUGAAAACUGGCAUCUGGGGCCUCAGAACAGAGUAUGGCUUAAAGAUGGGCAGUAAUUCCCAUGCAGGGAGCAGAGGGCAGGGUGUUGUUGUUGUUGUUGUUUUUCCUUUCCCCAGGGAAGAUAGAGCAUCGUACAGAAAUAAGAUAAGAUCUGAGGCACAAGGCACAAGAAAGGGCAGGUUGAGCACAUUUCAUAAGAGCAAAUGUGGAAAUGAUGGGCCCAGUGGCCUAUAGGGUUGGGUAAAAGACACAAGUGGCUGGCCAUAGAAAUGGCAGGGGUAAGACCUAAAACCCUCAUGUGGGCCUUGCCUGGCUCAGGUACCAUUUCCAGUUCCUCCACCAACCCCUCAAACUGAAGCCCUUGAAUUAUCUUCAUCCUUCAGAUCUCUGGGAAAGAAAUGUCUCCUGCAAGCCACCUCAGAUCCAGUUGUCAUGCACCUGUUCCCACUGUGGCCUCUGGCACUUUAUUAGCUCCUCUAAGAAAGAGGUUUUUAAACUUAAGGUUAUGACCCACUCUCAAACUGUGAAAUCAAUUCAGUGGCUCCAUCAGCAUUACAAAAAUGCCAUCAAAAGAAUAGAAGCUAUCAGAACAUGGUCCCAUGUAAUGACAAUGUGUAUUAUUUUGCAAAACUUAUUUUAGAGAUGUGCGCACACACAUUCACACGUGAAUAUGUGCAGGCUCACUGUAUAAAACAUAGUUUUGAUUAUGUCUGCUGUUCAACGUUGUGGAUAAACAUAGCUCUAAGAGACUUAGCUUGCUGACAUCUAAGCUAAUGUCUUUCCUCUCCUGCUCAUAUAAAUGGACAGGAGUAAUACAUGUUGUGUUAUCUCCAGCACAUGCUUGGACUUGGGUAUCAGAUAAAGCUGGGUUCAAAUUCUGGUUCCAUUAUUUGUAGUUGUAUAAAUUUGAGAUGAUAUCUAGAUUUUGAUAAGGAUAAUACAUUCUUUAUGAGAUAGAUGCAAAGAUUCAACAAAUCAUUGACUUGAAAAUGCUAAACAAGAUUUGUCCAGUGCAGAGAAAAGACAAAGAACACAUAGAGGUUACCAAUCAGUGGAAAGACUAAAAUAUCCAUCAGUCCAUUCAUUCAUUCAUUCAUUCAUUCACUCAUUUAUUCCUCUAUCCACUGACCCAGCAUAUUUAUUAACACCUGCUAUGUGCCAGGGAUUGUUUUAAGCACAGAACAAACUUGGUACUGAUCUCAUGGAACCUUCAGCCUACUAAGAUAAUUAAAAUACUUAACAAAUCCAAAUAAUAAAAAGUACUAUUACAAGAACAAAUAGUAAAGUUGACAGAAGACAAAAGAGAGGAACUCACAUAGAGAAAAGAGGUUUGUCUGAAGAAAUGAGAUUUAAACUGAGAUCAGAAUGAUGAGAGAGAGCCAUCCAUGCCCUGACAGAUUGGGGAAGGAAAGAGGGUAGUUUUCCAGGCAAAGAUAAUCAUGGCACAUACAAAGGGCAUAGGAGAAGAAGGUUAGCAAGUCUGAAGAACAGAGAAGAGGCCAUUGUGUCUGGAGCAUGGAGGGCAACUUUAAGUUGGGACUGUUGUGACUGGAGUGAUCACAACAGAGUGGCUGCAGUGUGGAGAAGGGAGGAAGAGGAUGGGAUAAAAGCAGGAAGACCAAUAAGUAGGUAUGUGAGGAUGAGGUAAUUGUGGGGAUGUCAGGAAGAUUGAUGUGGCUUGAAGAGGAAUGGACGGUCAUAGGGUGGGAAGCAGGGGUGAAGGCGAGGAGUCUGGAAACUUAGGCUAGAGCCUCAUUGUGAAGAAGCUUGAACACCAAGAUAAGACAUUGAAUAAGGUGUUGACUCUGAAAGAGCUCUGAAAAUUCAUGAAAUGCUACACAAAGAUGAAAUUUACAUGACAUUCACAGGGGGUGUCAGAAGGGUGAGUUAACAAACAGCUUCUCUGUUUCUGACACCCUAGAGUGAUCUAUUGACACCAAACAUGAGUUCCCUGCACCCUUGGGGACCACUCGAAACACUCCCAAACAAUAGGAUCUCCCUGCUGCAAAGUUCCUUCUGCCAAUUUAGGAGCUCAGAAUUACUGUGUAACAGCUUCCUUCUUCAGGGAACACAUGUUGAUUACCUAUUUUUUAUUCCCAGAUUUGUGAGUGAAGCAAGCCCAUGGUUGCUGUGCAUUAGCUCUCCCUAAGCUUUUAAGAGCUCAUUGCCGUCCCAAGGAUUACGAACCUCAGUGUGGUGUAGUGAGUUCAAAUCCCAGCUCUGCAUCUUACUACAAUAGCUCUCAUGUUGGAGUUUUCACCUGACUCAGCCAUACUCCAGCUGUGUUACCUUGAGCAAGUUACUUAACCCCUCUUUGCUUUGGUCUCCUCCUCUGUACAGUAGGGAUAACAUUAGUACACACCUCAUAGGGUUAUUGUGAGGUAUAAAUGACACAAUUCAUGGCAAGUUCCCAGAAGAGUGGUAGAAAUCAGCUGUUGUCAGCAGCAGCAGCAACAGUAUCCUAGCCUAAUCAAUCCUUCCAUCCAUCUUCUACUCAGGAUUAAUUACAAAUGGCUUAAUGAGAUUCAAGUUUUAUUGCAAGAACUUGGUCAAAGCAGAUUUCCAGUAUUCUGGGGCUCAUCGUGCCACUGACUACUGAAACAGACAUCCCAGGCUGGGCUUCUAAAGAACUCAGGAGGCAUCAUCUAAAACAUGGUAGCAGCUUAGAUGACAAAAGUGAGCCUUUCAAGAGGGGUUUUGCCCUUCAAGGCUGAAAAGUCAGUGACAGGACACACAUUUGGCUCCAGAAUCCUGUUUGUCUGCUGCAUGCUGCUACAAUCAUCUUGAAAUGUUCGGUGUGUCUGGAGAGUCGGCAGAAUGAAGAGCCUUCAUCCUUUGCUCAGUACAUUAUUCCCUGGGAAUGUGUUGCAGAUUCACAGGGCUGAUGUGAGAUCCCUAAUAUUGUGCCAACCUUAAAAUACUGUGCCAACAACAAAGCCUUCUGAGGUCAGAAGUAGGGAAAAGAGAGGAAGGUGGAGGCCAGUGAGAGCCUGGUCAACACUAAUACAUGAAAAAUAAGUUUCAUAUGGGGAGGGAGCUUCUGAAGGGAGCUGGCAGCAUAGUGGGUCUGAUGCUGGCUUCUUUAGAAAUCAUGGGUGGGGGUUAGGGGAGUUGGUGUGGGUGAGGGUCAUGGUCAGGGAUUGCUGAUCUAUCACCAAGACAGAGUCACGUUGGUGAAGGCUUCCCUUUGCACCUGCUCUACCACAGUGCUCUUCACCUUUGUCUCCAUCACCAGAUCUCUAUUUCCUUUCCUUGCUUUAACUUUAUGUCACUUAUCUCUCACUUUUAUUAUAUUACACACUAAUUUGUUAACUUUGUUCAUGGCCUUAAUAGAAUGGAGCUUCCAUAAUGUAGGGCCUUUUGUUUUGUUCAUUACUGUCUUCAGCACCAAGAACAGCACUUAGUGUUUUGUCAAUGCUUAGUAAUUCUUUUUGGAGUGUAUGAAUAGAUUAAUGGAUGCAGGGAUGGGUGGAUGGAUGGAUGGAUGAAUGGAUUACUGGAUGGAUGAAUACAUGAGUAAAUAGAUAGAUGUCUCUCAGAAUGGUUUAGUAGCUCCUCAAGGACAAUAACUAGAUAUGAAUUAUUUAUUAGCCUAUACCCGAGGACCGAAAAGGCUGGAAGAUAUGUAGUGAAUAAAGAAAACAUUGCUGUUAGUUCCCUUUUGGUGCCCAGGUAAGGGGUACUGGGUAUAGGGAUAAUGAAGACACAAAUGUGAUAACUAACUGUUAACUCCUCUCUCUCUACUGUUGGACCAAAGAGGAAGAGGUGGUCUGAAUUCCAAGCUUGUUUAGUCAUUUAUUUAUUUAUAAAUACUUAGGGAGAUACUGAGCCAGAAAGUAAAGGGGUGAAAGGGAUGUCAGAUGCAACUCUUCAAGCACAAUCACUUUACACAGAAAGCAACCUGAUAGCUGUAUCUAUUUGUUAUUACUAUUACUAUAUCUAGAUGGAAAUCAUAGGACUUUAGUGAAAGAGGGUGUCAAUAAUGUGGCUCAAAAAACACUGGAUUUGGGUUCAAAUUCUGACUGGGUGAUUAGAUGUACAUUCCUUGGCUAGCCAUGUUACCUUUUUCAGCCUCAGUUUCCCCAGGUUUAAAAUGAUCAACAAUAACAGGUGCCUUUUCCUCUUUAUGUAAGGACUUCAUUGAUAAUCAUGUUUUUAAAAGAACUAUAUAUGUUAUAGAGUAAUUUACACCCAUCAGAACUUUGUAUAUAGGUGUUUGUUAAAGAGAGGGACUCCAAAAACCACAGGUAACUCAAGCAGAGUAACUUAGGCGCAAAAGAAACAAAGCUGCAAAUCUGCCAGCUUUCCAAUACUUCUGAUACUUCUGUCAUCUAUCCAUCAACCUUUUUCAAAACCUAUUACAAGUCACACAAUAGGGGUCUCUUAGAGGCAUUGUUUUGCUGCCAUUUUACAGCAUUGAUGCUGUAGCUGCCAAUUGUCUUGACGGCAUGUUGUGAUGGUCUCAGGAUCUCCCCUACCGGGCUAGAUCAAGAAAACCCCUGGAAAGUUAGUUACUAGGGGCAGAGAGUCAAGCAUAAGAUGCCCAUCAAUGAGAAGGGAAAAGAGAGAGGAGUCAAUGGGAGGUGCUCUGUGGCAUGAUAGGAACAGGAAUUAAAAGCUGGCCAGUGUCCUUGAUGUACCCACCAGGGCUGAGCUGGUAUGAUUCAUUCUUUCUCUUCACCUUGCUGCCCUUUGUCUCCUGAGUAUUUAAAGACGUGGAGUUCAGGCCAGUCUUGGUGGCUCAUGCCUGUAAUCCCAGCACUUUAGGAGGCCGAGGCGGGUGGAUCA